CGUCACUCAAAGUGGGAGAAUGGGCAAACCCACCGCCCCGUUAACUCUUUACUUGUCAGACUGAGCGGCGAGAGGACGCCUCCCCGCUCUCUCUCUUUCUUUCCCCCUCUCAAGUAUCCUCCUACCGCUGCUGGACGCCAGCAGCAGCAGCAGCUCAUCUCUAAGGACUUGGGCUUUGGAGCUGGUGGGGGAUGGGUUCAAGCCCUACCGUCCAUGAAAAUGUACACCUGGCAAGAAACUGGCAAACGCGGAAUCUACGCUGUAGAUUUGCGAUCGUGGACAAUUCUUAACAUCUGAGUGUCUAAUAAUCGUGGACGACCUUGCUGAUCUCUCUCUUUGCCCUUCCCGCUCAGACGGCUAACAUAAAAGGAAGGAUGUUUAUGAUGGACGGGCAGCGUUUUUAAAGCGAGGCGUCACAUGGCGCUUGAUGGGAGGGAUCCGAAUCGAGAUGGCUGUGAUGUGACGAGACAGACAGGAACAUCCUUCUCGUCAUGUCAAGAUGUCAAGCAGCGGGAGUCUUAGCAGAAAAGACAGUAUCAUCAGUCUCCCAAGUGAAGCAAGGAUUGCAAAGAGGGCGUCAUUUCUGCAGUACCUGGGCUGACUUCUUUUUUUUUCAAGGUGAUAACUAACUGGCAGUCAGGAAAAUCAGAAGGAAAUUUGCAACUUGUCAACAACAGCUCAGAUCUGACCGAAGACCUUGCUUAGCUUGAGUGUCUUGGAUCAUUCAUACAAAGGUUGUUGUCACCUUGAAAGAGCCACCAGUCCAGAAAGUUCUUAUUUCAACUCUAGUAACAUACAUGACGACACUGUUUUGGGCAGUUCACAAAAAAUGUAAGAAAAAAAAUCACCAUUAAAAGAUGAAUGGGAUUUCGGCUCUUCUCGGCAAUAAUGAGCCUUACUUCAUGGAACAGCUUUUAUGAAGCCAUCAAAUUACCAAAUUACCCUUUACCAAAUAAGGGUGGCUGACUUGAAAGUCCUCUCACAAGUCCAGAUAUUAUUCCUGUCAUACAGUAUAAUUCACUGUAUUCUGUUGCUUGGAUGAAAGCUACUGCUUAGUAUCGGCUUCUACUGUAAGCUAUCUAAAAACCUUUUAUGUAAUUAGUUGGAUUUAGAGAAAUGUAUUUUUGUCCAAGCGAAUGCACCUAUAUCAAUGGGGUACAGUUUCUCUCCCUAUAAACGAAAUAAAAAUCAUAAAAAAUGUAACACACUUGCUUUGCUGCUUGUCUAUGAAUAAACAAGUGAGGUGUCCUUUUAAAAAAAUCUGCAUAAAUUGACACCAAUUAAAAAUGCGACUCUGCCUUCUCUCGA